GACGAACGCUGGCGGCGUGCUUAACACAUGCAAGUGGUGCGACGAACCAGGCUUCGGCCUGGGGCCGAGCCGCGAACGGGUGAGUAACACGUGGGCAACCUGCCCUGUUGAUCGGGACAACCCGGGGAAACCCGGGCUAAUACCGAAUGUGGUGCCGGCUCAUGGGAGCCGUCACGAAAGGAACCUUCCGCCUCCGGGAACGGCUGGGGCCGCGGCCCAUUAGCUUGUCGGUGGGGUAAUGGCCUACCAAGGCAACGAUGGGUAGCUGGUCUGAGAGGACGAUCGGCCACACUGGGACUGAGACACGGCCCAGACUCCUACGGGAGGCUGCAGUGGGGAAUCUUGCGCAAUGAGCGACAGCUUGACGCAGCAACGCCGCGUGGGGGAAGAAGGCUUUCGGGUCGUAAACCCCUUUCAGUUAGGACGAAGCUUUAUUGGUUAAUAACCAAUUGGAGUGACGGUACUUUCAGAAGAAGCCCCGGCUAACUACGUGCCAGCCGCCGCCGUAA
rnacentral:rRNA from 1 species